GGAGAGCUGUCCGAGUGGCCUAAGGAGCAUGAUUGGAAAUCAUGUAGACGACGCAAGUUGUCUCAAGGGUUCAAAUCCCUUGCUCUCCGCCA
rnacentral:tRNA from 2 species